rnacentral:rRNA from 1 species
GAGUUUGAUCGUGGCUCAGAUUGAACGCUGGCGGCAUGCCUUACACAUGCAAGUCGAGCGGCAGCGCGGGGGCAACCCUGGCGGCGAGCGGCGAACGGGUGAGUAAUACAUCGGAACGUGUCCAGUAGCGGGGGAUAACCUCUCGAAAGAGAGGCUAAUACCGCAUACGACCUACGGGUGAAAGCGGGGGACCGCAAGGCCUCGCACUAUUGGAGCGGCCGAUGUCGGAUUAGCUAGUUGGCGGGGUAAAAGCCCACCAAGGCGACGAUCCGUAGCUGGUCUGAGAGGACGAUCAGCCACACUGGAACUGAGACGCGGUCCAGACUCCUACGGGAGGCAGCAGUGGGGAAUUUUGGACAAUGGGGGCAACCCUGAUCCAGCCAUGCCGCGUGAGUGAAGAAGGCC